rnacentral:rRNA from 1 species
UACAGAGGGGGCAAGCGUUGUUCGGAAUUACUGGGCGUAAAGGGCGCGUAGGCGGCCUGCUAAGUCGGACGUGAAAUCCCUCGGCUCAACCGAGGAACUGCGUCCGAUACUGGCAGGCUGGAAUCCGGGAGAGGGAUGUGGAAUUCCAGGUGUAGCGGUGAAAUGCGUAGAUAUCUGGAGGAACACCGGUGGCGAAGGCGGCAUCCUGGACCGGUAUUGACGCUGAGGCGCGAAAGCUAGGGGAGCAAACGGG